ensembl:snoRNA small nucleolar RNA, H/ACA box 12
GGUUGUGGUAGUUUCUUUCUGGCACAUUUGUUAAGGUUUCAAAUGGGCCUGACUCUACCACAUACAUUGUAAGGAGCUGGCAAAGCCUUAAAGACAGAAGGAUCUCUUUUGAGCUUUUUGUGCAUCAGAUAUUAGCUCUCACAGUC